AUGGGCCGCGCGCAGUGCACCCGGCGUGACGUGCACGAGCGAAAAGAACUGAAUUAAUCCAAUCAUUGAAAUAAUUUUGUUUGCAGAGGCAAUUCGCGCAAGGGAGGUAUAGGAAUUAUUUGAUGGCUUGCGAGUGACAGCACGAGCCGAAUUUAUUGCCCGUGGAAGUACCCACGAUAGGAAUACACUGUUGGGAACAUGGUGGCGCCGCUGACGGUACCUAAAGAGAACCCCUGCAUGUCCUUCGUCGUGAUGCGAAAGAGCAGUGGAUGCAGAAAAUGUCUCUACCUGCCAGGAUGGUAUAAGAGCACGAACUGAAUCACCUGUUGGUGCAGAAGGCUUGGAGGACUGCUUUUGAAACAGUUGUUCAAAUUUCCUGCACCUCUUCGUAGCCGUUGUCUGAUUUCUGCAUUCUGGGGAGACUGAAGUUAAGAAGCCCUCACCGAAACCAACACUACGUUGCUGUGUUGUUUUCUUCCAAGGUCGGGCACAGUAAAGGAGACGACUCUGUAUCAAGGCACUACCCAGAGGGAGGAUGUUGGCCUUCUCCUGAUGGGAAAAUGUCUUCUUUCUCAUGGCGUGGCCAGGACUGCACUGACCCUACCAUCCACUCUACCUCUCCGGAAAGGGACUUGACAACCAGUCAAGAUGGAUGUGCAGAGAUAUACCAGCGCUUCUAGCAUUAACUGCCGAUUUGCACUGACGCAGCAAGACUCCCAACAGUCAAAAAGAAUAAUAUAGACGUGCAGAAAAUGUAGGAGAGCGAUGACAUCAGAAGGACACUCUCAGGUUCAGGGUACCUGUACUGCCCCAAUAAAGUGGGUCAGAUCCCAAAACGAGGUUGGCCGAAGCAAAAAAAAAAUAGAAGAGCCUGCCUUGAACUGAAUAUGAGGAGGAAGAAGAAGAAGACAAAGAAAGAGAAAGAGUAGGAAUUUGUUUGUGUAAACUUUGUUUCCUCUGUCUAGGCUGCCACCGCAUUAUAGCAGCCAACAGUGUGUGUGUGUGUGUGUGCGUGCGUGCGUGCGUGCGUGCGUGUGCAUAUGUGUGUGUGUUUGCGUUUGUGUGCACACGCUUGUGUGUGUGUUUGCAUGUGUGUAUAUUCUGCUAAUAUUGACUUAAAUUUCCACAUCUGGGCAUAUUGUGUUCUGUAUGUGAAUUUAUCUUCAUUAACUUGUGCGCUACGUUCCUUUCUUCACGUUACGGCACUUUAGUAUUGUUUUACUUGAACAUCAUACUCUCGCCCAACUUUGUUUCACCAACAAAGGUUUAUUCUCCAAAGUAUUUCUAAUUGAUUGUGUAUGAGUUUCAUACUACUGUCAGGGGCGUCGGAAUGUUUUUUAGUGUGGUACGGUCAGCCAUCUGAAGUACAAUUGACUCGUGGGGGAGUGUUGGCUGAGCCGAAAAUUUUGGAAUUUUAGAUCCCAGAUCAGUGUA